GAUGAACGCUGGCGGCGUGCCUAAUACAUGCAAGUCGAGCGAACAGACGAGGAGCUUGCUCCUCUGACGUUAGCGGCGGACGGGUGAGUAACACGUGGAUAACCUACCUAUAAGACUGGGAUAACUUCGGGAAACCGGAGCUAAUACCGGAUAAUAUAUUGAACCGCAUGGUUCAUUAGUGAAAGACGGUUUUGCUGUCACUUAUAGAUGAAUCGGCGCCGCAUUAGCUAGUUGGUAAGGUAACGGCUUACCAAGGCAACGAUGCGUAGCCGACCUGAGAGGGUGAUCGGCAACACUGGAACUGAGAAACGGUCCAGACUCCUACGGGAGGCAGCAGUAGGGAAUCUUCCGCAAUGGGCGAAAGCCUGACGGAGCAAGGCCGCGUGAGUGAUGAAGGUCUUCGGAUCGUAAAACUCUGUUAUUAGGGAAGAACAAAUGUGUAAGUAACUAUGCACGUCUUGACGGUACCUAAUCAGAAAGCCACGGCUAACUACGUG
rnacentral:rRNA from 1 species